rnacentral:rRNA from 1 species
GAGGAAUAAGCAUCGGCUAACUCCGUGCCAGCAGCCGCGGUAAUACGGGGGAUGCAAGCGUUAUCCGGAAUCAUUGGGCGUAAAGCGCCUGUAGGUUGUUUAAUAAGUCUGUUGUUAAAGACUAGGGCUUAACUCUAGAAAAGCAAUGGAAACUAUUAGACUAGAGUAUGGCAGGGGUAGAGGGAAUUUCUAGUGUAGCGGUGAAAUGCGUAGAUAUUAGAAAGAACACCGGCGGCGAAAGCGCUCUACUGGACCAUUACUGACACUCAGAGGCGAAAGCUAGGGUAGCAAAAGGGAUUAGAUACCCCUGUAGUCCUAGCCGUAAACGAUGGAUACUAGAUGUUGUGCUUCAUGUACAGUAUCGUAGCUAACGCGUUAAGUAUCCCGCCUGGGGAGUACGCUCGCAAGGGUGAAACUCAAAGGAAUUGACGGGGGCCCGCACAAGCGGUGGAGCAUGUGGUUUAAUUCGAUGCAACGCGAAGAACCUUACCAGGGCUUGACAUACUACGAAUCCUUCUGAGAAGAAGGAGUGCCUUCGGGAAUGUAGAUACAGGUGGUGCAUGGCUGUCGUCAGCUCGUGUCGUGAGAUGUUGGGUUAAGUCCCGCAACGAGCGCAACCCUUAUUUUUAGUUACCAACUUGUUGGGUUCUCUAGAAAGACUGCCGGUGACAAACCGGAGGAAGGUGAGGAUGACGUCAAGUCAGCAUGCCCCUUAUGUCCUGGGCUACACACGUGCUACAAUGGCUAAGACAAAGAGUCGCGAGCUUGCAAAAGUCAGCUAAUCUCAUAAACUUAGCCUAAGUUCAGAUUGUAGGCUGCAACUCGCCUACAUGAAG